CUUUUCUUUCUCUUUUUCUUCUCUCUUUUUCUUCUUUCUCUUCGGGCCGAACCCUAGCCUCCUUGUGCCGCUGACGCUUCUUCCGUUCGGUGGUGCGACGGCGAUGGUGGUGUCACGGUGGCAGUGCGGCAACGGUGGUUGCGGGAUCGACGGCGGGGCAUGGUGAGCAGGGCACUCCCGAAUGCUGAUUGGGGGUGGUCUUGUCAUGCCCAGAAGGACCAAAAUGUAAAGGGUGCAAAGUUUUUGGGGUAAAAAUGUAAUUUCAAGAAAAUAUGGGGCAAAAAUGUAAUUUCUAGAAAGUUUAGGGCCUAAAUGUAAUUUACAAAAUAUUAGGGGUCAAGAUGCAAAUUCAAAAAGGUUAGGGGUCACAAUGUAAAUUUGGAAAAGUUUAAGGGCCAAAAUAUAAUUUAUAUUUUUUGUA